ACCCCUGUGAGAAUGCCCUCAAUCCUCCGCCCGAAGACGAGGAGCAGGCAUCAGGCGCGCCCAUGCAGCCCAAGACGCCUUGCUACGCCACACCCCCAAGGGAUUUCAGCAGUAAUAAACAUUAAGCCAUAAGUGAAAACUUGACUUAGUUAGGGUCACAUAGGGUCGGUAAAAUUCGUGCCAGCCACCGCGGUUAUACGAAAGACCCCAGUUAAUAGACACGGCGUAAAGGGUGGUUAAGGAAUAUAAUAAAUAAAGCUAAAGGCCCUCUAAGCCGUUAUACGCACUCCGAGGAUACGAAGCCCAAACACGAAAGUAGCUUUAAGCCUCUCCUGACCCCACAAAAGCUAAGAAACAAACUGGGAUUAGAUACCCCACUAUGCUUAGCCAUAAACCCAGAUGUACUUCUACAAUACAUUCGCCAGGGUACUACGAGCACAGCUUAAAACCCAAAGGACUUGGCGGUGUCUCAGACCCACCUAGAGGAGCCUGUUCUAGAACCGAUAACCCCCGUUAAACCUCACCACUUCUUGUUUUCCCC
rnacentral:rRNA from 1 species